CCUAGAGUACCCCUUAAUUCGAAGAACCUGGAGGGAGGUGAGCAUCUGCAGGGCCUCCGAUUGCUCCAUUGUGAAGUGCUCCAAGUCGUCAUUCCAAGCAAGCCCUAGCUCGGUGAGAGAGGAAGAGAAGUGGCCACCGACGGGCACAGCAGCGGCGCCUCCAGCUUCCCCAUCCGUUUCAAGCGCCUGCAGCCUGGAGCUAUGUUGGGGAAGAACUUGUUCGCACAUCCGCGAAGGCUCUGGGACAUCAAGUAAGUUGUGCGCUCCCCAGAUUUGUAAUUCCUUGAGAUGGCCCUGGGCAAGGAGAGGCCAUAGGUCCUCGGAUCUUAGACCCCCACAAUCAUAUAGGUCCAAUUUGGUCAGAUUUGUGAGAGGAGCCAGAGUCAGCAUGCCAUCCUUCACACCCUCAAGCACGAGGGACUGCAGGGAGGUCGGGAAAGGGCAGUAAAAAGAGGGGAUGGACAGCUGUUCUCCUGUUGCAGCUUCUAUUUCCAGUGAUCUCAGAGAGCUCUGAUUUUGGAGCAACUCCUUCAAUUGGAGGGGCAUGGACAGCUGUUCUCCUGUUGCAGCUUCUAUUUCCUCUGCUUCUCCUGCCUGCUUGUUACCACACUUCCAUAGUUCCAACGUUGAGAGGUUAGGGAAAUAAGAGAUUAGCUGUACCAAUUCCUUCACAGUGGCACCACAAUCUGAUAUCUGGAGCUGUUCAACUGGGAACUCGAAUGGGGAAUCAUUCUCACCUUCAGUUGGCCAUAGGACACUACUAAAGUCACUUAUACCCAGGGUAUUCAGAGAGUUUAGCAGUUGCAGGUGAUGUAGAGGCACUUGUGAGCAUCCAAAAAUCCUGAACUCCCUUAUUUCACUCAGAUUAGUAAAGGCCAAUACAUUCCAGAGUUCACGAUCAAGAGCAUCCUUUUUGAACUCUACACGAAUUUUCUGUUCCUUUUUGCUGUAAUCUAAGUUCUCAAUACUCUUACCCACUCUCCACAGUUCGGCUUUGGACAGAGAACUACUCCAAGGAAUUGGUGGCACUGACACUAAUUCCUCACACUCUGAAAUGUAUAUCUCCUGUACGUUGGGAAACAUGUGCGGAGAUGGCAACUCUGUAAGUUCAAAACAAUCCUCAAUAGUGAGUACCUGUAGCUUAGAGAAAGGGCUAUCUGCACUCCAUUUUCUUAGAGUUGCUAUGUUGACAAGUUCUAGCCUUUUCAGAUUCUCGAAGAUUUGGCCUGUGACAUUUGGGUGCUCUUCGCCGACCACCAACAACACUCCUAGCAAAGGUGGAAGACUUUUCCAGGCUACACCUUUGAGACAAAGGCAUUCCAAUUUCUUAGCAGAGUGGUCUGAACAUAGCCAAGUAGGGUAUGUGUGACCUCCAUGUCCUCUAAUGCACACUUGUUGAAGAUUAUUGUGUGGCUUAAGGCAUUCAAGAACAUCUUGUUCCUUUUUUGGAUCCCUAUCAGACUGGUCUCUAUCCCAACCUAAUAUUAAUCGAUUUAAGUGUUGCAAAUGGACUAAUUUUAAUUCUUCCAGCUCUGUUGCACCACCAACCUUUUCAAGAUUGCAAAUCUCCAAUGACCCUUGCAGCUGUAUCAAUUUCCCAACUUGGUUCAAUUCAAAACCUUGUUUUUCUCUAUUGACCUCAAAUCUCCUUAUCUCUUGUAUAGAUUUAAGUUUCCCAAUCUCAACAAUUCCACAAUGAUAAGAAUUAUUUCCCACAAGAAAAUGACGAAUUUUCACUAGGUUGCUCAUAUCUCUUGUAGAAGAGCAGAUCUCUUCUUCUUCCAUAUGAGCAAAAGUGUCGCAUUCUUUUAUAUCUAGGACCAACAAGUUAUAAAAUCUUGAUAUACUACCAAAUAAACUUCUUAAAUUUAAUACAUAACCCUUUAUCCUUAAGUAACGAAGAUGGACAAGUUGUGAGAAACUGUGCAGCAGAACCUCCACAUCAUACGAUGCACCUGAUAAGAAAAUGACACGAAGGGUUUUUGCAUCCCGAAACAUACCACUAAAUAUCUUGCAAAAGCUUCCAUGGUGAUCUCCAAAUAACAUCAAAGUACGUAGGUUUCUAGCUUUCAGUCUUUUACCAAGUAUAUCAAGCCCUUUCUUACAAUUUUCAAAGGUUGCUUUGUCCUGGACAUCUGAAUUAUUUAUGAUGAUUGACAUGUGAUGUAUAGAUGCAGGAAUUUGUAUUGACCACACAUUAGACCCUUGUAUGCUAAUACAUUCAUGUGCUGAAACAUUUCUUGCCAAGUCAUGGAGUAGAUCAUGUAUCACAUAAUAAGUGCUGCCAUCCUCUUUUUUUGCUUCAUGGAAGAAGCCAUGAUUAACCAAGUCGCUUAAAUAAUCUAGUCCAAUAUCUUCAAGUCUCUUGUUUUGAUCGUCGGGGCCUAACAGCCCUAGUCCUAUCCACAAGUGGAUUAACUCUUCCCUUCCAAAUUCAUAAUCUUCAGGGAACAAGGCACAGUGGGCAAAACAUUGUUGUAGAUGAAAAGGAAGAUAGUUAUAGCUAAGCUUUAAUGCUGGCAUGAUAUCAUCCUCAUUGGCCUGAUAUUCCCAUUCUUUACUCUCAAGUACCCUUCUCCAAUGGUCUGUGUUAAGUUCAGUUUUCAGUAAUCUACCGACAGUUUUAACUGCAAGAGGGAAACCUUUCAAUCUCUUCACUAUUUCGCACCCAAAAUCAUGCAAAUUAGGGUUCCCUUCCCAUGUUUGCUGGUCAUCAAACACACAUGCUUGGAAGAAACACAUGCAUUCUUCAUCACUUAACCGUUCUAAUCUUAUUUGACAGCCUACUGUUGCAACCAUUUGUGCCACCUUCGGUAUCCUUGUUGUGACUAUUGCCAUGUUACCUUUUGUUUGCAUUUUCUUAAAUGGGGCUAGCAGUUUUUUCCAUUCAUUUUCGUGAUCUGUCCACAUGUCAUCCAAAACAAGCAAGAACCGUUUGGACUGCAAUCUUUUUUCAAUCAGACCUUCAGCACUUUCAUUUCCAUUUUCAUUGUCAAGUUUAGGGAUUUGUUUUAUGAUUUCUUGUGCCAACUUACUUGCACUGAAAUUCUGAGAGACACAUACCCAUACCAGGACUUGGAAGUGGCUCUUUGCUUCUUCAUAUAUAUGUUGUGUGAGUGUUGUCUUCCCAAGACCCCCUGGACCAACUAUCGAAAGAACAGUGAGAUCAUCAUUGACAUGAUAUUUAGAGGUUAUUCCAUCUAUGACAUCCUUUUUCAAAUCAUCCCUCCCAUAUAACUUUGGCUCUAUAAUCUGUGGGGUGGUGGUUCUGGUGGUUUGGUUGAAAGCAGUGCCUUGUUGGGCUGAGAUGCCAGUGGAGGCUAUAGUUCCCUGCAGCUCCAGAUCUAGAAUUGUAGAGACCAUAGCACACACUGGCUUAAGCUGCUCAACUAUGUCCACCAUCCGUUUGGACAUGGCCACCCGAUCAAACUUGAGUUUUGGCUUUCUACGAUGGUGACACACCACAGAAGCACAGGAACAUGAGGGGAGCUUCAGCUUACUGACGACGGCCCCGGCCGUGUGGCGUGCGUUGAGGACAAGGCCCCCGACGAGACCUCGGACAUCGGCGUCAAUGGUCUCAUAGGUCCCGUCGAGCUCGUCUUGGAUGCGGAAGUACUCCAGCUCGUCUAGAACGUCAUCAGCAUCAAAUGCUUGGUUGCGGAGCUCCUGCAAGAGCUGCCCCAGUGCCGGGCUGCGGACAUCCCUGCCACGGGCGUUGUCUAGCAUCCCCUGGGCGUACAGGAGUUGCAGCUUGAGGGCGCGGAUGUUGGGGGCCAGCUUCGAAGAGGCUGCCCAAGACUCCAUGAGGCCAUCGGAGAUGGGUCUCAGUGCCCUGGACACCGCCCAGCGUGCUGCGCUGAUGGUGAUCUCCAUCCUCUCUUUCAAAGGGUGUUGGAUGACGAAGAUUCUGUGAAUCAAAGCAUCGAUCAAGUUAUGAGCCUGUUCGGAACAGCUGCAGCUGCACUAGCACAAGAAACGGUGUUGCGUGAGUCUUUGUUUGCAGCAACAGCCGCACUGGCAAGAAGCUGUUCUGAAGCUGAAGCCAAUGUACUAGGAUUAGCUCGCUGUUUGUUCUGCAAGAGGUGAAGUAUGUGCAGAUCACAAGGCUAGCCAGCUGCUUACCUAGGCUACGCAGGAGGUGCCCUGCGUGGUCGGCACCGGGUUGGAGACUGGAGCAGCUGCAACGAGCCAAUGACACAGGCACCACGGAGUUGGAGCCUUGGAGGCCGCGGACGUGAAGAGGUGUCUGUGAACUGGAACACUUAUCUGGGAGGAAUGCGAGAGAGAAGAACUCUAGCCUCCGGACAAGCAACUUGCACCGGUGGUGUGUGCUGUGUGGAUGGAGAUGUAGAUAUUUCUGAACGGCUGGGAGUGCCAGCGUGUGUUUGGUUUGGACUGAUAUUUUUGAAAAGUCAAGCAGAGUAUGGAAUCUUGCUUGCCUGACAGCUUAUUGAAGUGGACACGGCCUCCUGCCAGCCAAGGCGAGAGCGAGAGCUUGGCAUGGAUUGCUCAAUCACACUGCGCUACAGCAGUUCAACCCUGUAUCUCACAGCUUGUGUUUGCACAGACUGAGUUCCCUUUGGCCUUAAGCUUGUUCAAUUACCUAGCAGAUGUUGUAAUUUUCGUUUCAGGUAUUUGAGCUCAGCAGGGACCUUAAUCCUGAUUGAGAAAAAACGUUAGGUCGGGUAUCCUUUGGCCUUUGCAAGUUUGGCUAUGUAGGUCCGGUUCCAUUCCAGCUGAUGUCACUGAAAUGCAGGACACAAAGCUUGUUCAAUUAUUCUUGUCCUUCCCCGAAUUCCUCUUGACUGACUUGCAGUCUGAAGAGGCCAGUGGUCUCGUAGGUCCCAUCGACCUUGUCCUGCAACCCCGCGCGACACUGACUUUCGUUUUUAUUUGGCAAUUAUUGUCCAAUCAUGGACUAACAGGCUCAAAAGAUUCAUCCCGUGAUUUACAGGCAAACUAUGUAAUUGUUUUCGACUAUAUUUAAUGCUUCAUGCAUGUGCCGCAAGAUUCGAUGUGACGGAGAAUCUUGAAAAGUUUUUGAUUUUUUGGGUUGAACUAAACAAGGCCGUGCUUUCGUUUGUAUUUGGUAAUUAUUGUCCAAUCAUGGACUAACUAGGCUCAAAAGAUUCGUCUCAUAAAUUACAGACAAACUGUGUAAUUAGUUUGUUUUCAUCUACAUUUAAUACUCGAUGCAUGUGUUUAAAGAUUCGAUUUGACGGUAAAUCUUGAAUAUUUUUGGAAACUAAAAAAAGGCCUAAGCUCAAGUGAACAGGACGUCCGACGACCAUUGACCUGGACCUGGACACAGAACCACAGCGAGCCGAUCGAAGAAGCCGCGGCCACAUCGAGCCGAGUAGCUUAAACCAUGCAAUGCAAGAUGGGAUCGAAGAACCUUCAGCCGUUCAGCGAAUCAAUUGGGCUGACUGACUGAACUGUGCAGUCCCAAUUGUCAAAAGUUUGGUAGCCAACAGGGCUUCACAUUCAGUGUGUUUAACAGAGCUUGACUCUGAAAAUUCAGGUUCAGUGUUCUUGACAGCCUGCGUUGGACAGCUGAUUUUGAUAUGUGAUUCUACUUUGAAAAGCAGGGCCCUUUGCCUUCAAGACAAACUAGACCCUAUGUUCAUUUGAUUUUAGAUUAUAGUGAGAUUGAGAUCCAUCUGAAAAGCAAUCAUUGAAAUGCUAGCAGAGCAGAACUUUUUACUUACUAGCUUCGUUCAGUCCUGUAUCUCAUGUGCUUUCGCAUGCUAGCCAUUUGGCCUACACUCAAAAUGCAGCAGUUGCCUGUUCUAUUCUUAGCGGCACACUCUUGCACACUUUGAUUCAGCACAAUGUAAGUUUGACAAACAUAAUUUGGCAAGCCAAUUCAGUCUAGAGAACAACCUAUAUAUCGUCUCAACUUAGACAUUAUCUAGCAUAAUCAAUUGACAACCUCUUCAGUUAGCAAUGUGUCAUCAUUUUGAAAGGGUCCAUGUCAAGGACUGCCUAACCAUGCAAAUAACUCACAUGAAAAUCCCAACUUCGGAUGGCUGCACAUGGUCAGUAGGAGAUUGGAUUUUUUUUUCAUAAGAAUUUAUUUGGUAAGCGUGGCUGUGCCAGUCAACUUUUCUUGGUUGUCCAUGCAUAUGAAAAUCUAAAAAAACAAGAUGAAUUAUGGAUUUUAAUUUUUUUUUCCUGUAUAUAUGACAUGAAUUAUGGAUUGGCUGAAGACCUGUUAGUCUAAUAUUAAAUUACAUAACAAGAUGAAUGAUUGAAUUAAGUGAUACAAAAAAUAUUUUACCUCCACGGUAGCGCUGCCAUCUAGUUUCGAGCCAUUUAUCCUCCAAGGACAAGGGCCCGUCGAUUCAUCACCAGACUUGCAAAACCCCCCUAUAUUUCUUUGUAGUUGACUUACAAACAAGAGAAAUCUACAUUUACUUGAGACUUACAAACAGAAGAAAUCUACAUUUAUAUUUACUACUGUCUUCUACUGGAACGAAAAAAAGACAGGAAGUGCAUCCAAUAUUUACUACUGUCUACUAUGUACUGGUAUGAAAUAAGAGAUGAAGUGCAUCGAAUUUAUAUCUUUCCACUUGAAGAAUCGGAAGGCUGUACUCUAUUGCUGGAUGACAAACAGUAGGCAACAGUGACCUUGCAUGGGCAUCGGCAUCUAUUUGCACGGAUUGGUCCACCUGGACAUCAGGUAUAUUUGGCCAUCUCCACCUUGGCUGGUUUCACCAGCAGCGUCACCGCCUACCCUGAGAACGCUUGGAACACAGAACAAGACAUCAAGAUCAUGUACAAAGACGCAAAACGAGACACACCAGCAGCAGAAGCCCCACCGUGGUCAUGUGCGUGAGCGCGUCGUUCCUGGUGUUGUCUAGUCUCCUGCCCGGCGAGGCAAGCCCUAGGUCACUUGCCAUCUGGCUUCCUGCCAGCGCGACGAGGCUUCGACGGCCGUUGGAGGGAGCAGAUCGCCUACCGCCGCCGGGGGCUCGCCGGGCGACGGUGGAUCGCCGGGGAGAGGUUUUGCGGUGGAAACGUCGAUCUUUUUUUAGAGAAACUGAAACAUCAAUCUGUGUACAAAGACUAAAGGGCAAUACAGUCAUUAACUAAAAAUACAUGUAUUUUAAAUUAUCAAAAUUAAUUAAAAAGGGCCAAAAUAUCAUUAGAGCUUAUAAACAACGUUUAGAGUUCUGUUUGGAAGAAACCAAUGUUACGAGUCCUAUUUGGAAGAAGCCAAUUAUAAUUGGAUAACCAUUUUCUCCGUAACCUCCGUUGUGGCCAUGCUGCGGCAGCGGGAGGCGCCGGAGUCGCGGCCGUGAUACUCAGAUGCAGCGAAUCAAGCAAGCGCCUCUCCACUCCUCGCUGCGGGAUACAGACGAACGGAACAGGGUCAGGAAGGAUAAGGAAGGGAGGGCGCCGGAGUCGGGCGGCAGAGGACGUGUGCGAGGAGGGAGACAUCUUCAACAAAUUCAGCUUGACUGACUGAACUCUGCAUCUUCUUCAGCAAGUGUCGAAGUUGGUAGACAACACAGCAGGGAUUCACAUUCUGAAGAGACCCCAAAUUGCUCGAUGGUAUGCUUCAGUAAAUUCAGUCCAUUUCCAUCUGUGGCUGUCUGCAACAUGUUAGUACUUAAUAUGUUGCAAAUCUACUGAAACUCAAAUUUCCAUCGGUGGCUGUCUGCAACAUGUUAGUAAUCAAGAGAUUUUGUCUGCAACGUUUUAUUUCAAUGACAGUUCAGCCUCCAGUUAAUGUUUUCUUUUUCUUAUUAUGCGACAACAUUCCAGAAAAAACACUGUGGUUUCCUUCAUUCCUCUCAAUCCCUUUCCAUAUCUGUCCUGUUGCAGACCAAUAGUUUCCCAUUUUUUAUGAGACAAAAAUAACAGAAUACUUUGAAGUCGUAGUAGUUUAUUGACUAAAUUACCCUAAUGCAGAAAGUUCGGGGCCUAAAUUAGAGUUUGGCACAUGCCCCCAAACUUUCAAUCAUGACCUGCAUGUGUAGCUAGCGUCAGAUUGUCUGUAAUCAAAAUAAAAGGUAUUGGUAAGCAUAACAAAGUUCACGUCUAUCUUAUCCUAUAAAUUUGCUGAACACAUAUAGUAUCGUAUUAUCCAUAUUUUCACGUCGGUUACUGAAAAUUUACAUGUUCCCAGGUUACUGAAAAUUUACAUGUUCCCAACAUUGUCAAAUCAUAAACCAAGCAAAGUUGUACCAGAGUGCAGGGUCAUAGCAAAAUUGUACCUGGAGUGCAGAAGCUCGUGUAGGGAACAACACAGGGAACACGACCAAGCAAGCCAUCUUCAUCACAUUCCCCCUUGUAUACCUUCCGCACCCGACCAGACUUUAGAUCAAAGCUGAAUAGCACACCAUCAUUCAUUCCCACGAAAAAGACAUCAACACCAUGCGCAAAGCCAAGGAAGCCAUAACUGAUGGAGCCGGCACCGACUGGAAGCAACUUCUCAAGCUCAAUGACUCUAGUCCGUGUCCAUCCCACGCCUCCGUUUGGAUUCACCUCCAUUGACCAGAGCAAGAGUCUGGCGGCCAUAUCCACUCUUGCAAAUCCCAGCCCACCACCCUCCAUCUCCAUGAGCGCAAUAGCACAAUUGGAGGCUCGAGGUAAGUGAACCACAGAUGUCUCCGUUGUGGCCAAAUCAAAACCUAGGACCCUACUGCCAUUAUCAAUCGAGAAGUAGAGUGUGUUCCCACAAGGGCAGUAGGCACUAGAUCGACGCUGCACUUGGGGACCAGAGUCGGCUCGCUCCAGCAGGCUGCCGCCGAUGAGUAGACGCGCAAGGACCAGCGCUGGACCUGGCUGUAGCUGUAGUACUUGGUGACAAAGCGAACGACGACGAAGGCUGUACCGUCGGCCGUGGGCUCGCGGAGCACAGUCGCGUACCACUCGUCCCGUUCGCAGUCGUCCAGGACUGGUAUCUCCCACCGCUCGCCCGUUGUCGGGUCCCAGAUGACGAGGGCGUCGACCUCGUCGUCACCCAGGACGAAGUGGAGGACGACGAGGCCGUGGCGGGCGUCGAGGACGACGCAGUCGCGGACGUCCUCCUCGCAGCCGGUGGGUGUCGGGCGGAAAGAGGAGGUGGGGACGAACCAGGCGAACAAGGGGUUGCACAGGAAGCCGAGCAGUGGUGCUGUGCGGUGGAACUCCAUGAACCGGCGGCGGAAGCUGCGGGCACAGACGAUGCGGCACCAGGGCUUGCAGACGAGCGCGGCGCGGACGAGGCUCGCGGGAUCGGCCGGUGGGAGGCGGAGGAGGAUCUCUUCGACGACGUCGGCCGGCAGCUCCAUACUGCUACAGAUCCGGGGAGAGGAGCGGCGCAAGCGCGAGGCUGAGGCAGAGGCGGAGGCGUGGGUGCCGGAGGGAUCCGGCGAGGGGCGGCGCUGCCUGCUGCGACAGCGGAGGUUUUUUUUUUUUUUUUUUUUUGAGCUGCGACAGCGGAGCUGGGCUGCGAAUUGGGCCGUUCAGCUUCUCGAGUGGAGAGGCCUUCGAAUUUUCUGUUCCAUCAGCCCACAGCCCACGGGAAUUGCUAGUAGGCCCAGGCACAGCCCACAGCCCGCAGCGUGAUCGAAGGAGAUCUUCAGGAACUUAGACUGACAGACUGAACUCUGUUAUUCUGAAUAGACAACAGACCUUCAUAUAUCGAGUGUUCUCAUGAAUUUCAGUUGUACUGAUAUCAUAGUUUCUUGCAACCGGUGUUUGGUAACAAAGGGGGAGGGCAGUGAGGGGAGAGAAACUGGAAUCGAUUUUCAAGAUUGACAGACUUCUGUGUGAAUAUACAUGUUGCUGGUGACAAGAGACGAAUUGGUAAUGGCUUCUCGUCCCUCGCGAACCUGUAUCUUGAAAUUCUACGGAAAUCUUAAGGGGUUGCGUGGCAUACUGAACCCUGUUGUCUGUUGAUGCCAACCCUAUUAGACAAAUUGCUCCAAAUGUUUCUACUGCAUUGUAUCCAGGCCUGCCUGCAACGCAUGAGUGAUGGUAACUUCUUGUCGUCAUUCACGUUUCCUGUGUGUGAUGCUAUGGCUGAUCAAGGCACAAAAGCUGGCAGGGGCGAAGCUACGUGCUGAUUAGGGGGUGCAAAUACACCCCCUGAAAUUUAUAAAAACAGUGACUAGAUCCAAAAUUUCACCAUAUACGCACCCCCAUAAAAAAUGUCUAUGCAUCCACAAGCUAAAUACACCCCCCUUCUAAUUCGCUCUAGCUUCGCAACUGAAAGCUGGCAAGAAGGUUUAUAGCAUCUUUGAGGGUUAUACUAAUCUUUAAAAGAGACUGGUCCAUGUCACCAUGGAGGAGUUAUCAAUGUCAUUGAGGGUCAUAGUAAUCUGUAAAGGAUGAUGGAGUUUAGAGUAGACUAGUGAAGGUCCAAGUGCUCGUUUUGUUUGAGCCCCACUUCCUGUAGCAAAUGGGGCAGGAAGAUUAUAAAGAGCAAGGACGUCUAAGAAAACUGUCCAUGCUUUGAUAAUGCUUUUAUGUGGAAAAACUCCUCAAAAUGAGGAGUAAAAAACCACGGGACCAUCACGGUCCACUGCCAAACUUUCCAUUAUAUGAGGACCAUGUACUCUUUACAAUAUCUAGAGAUAAUACCAGAUCUGAAAACCGUCAUAAUAAAACCCUUGCACGACCAAACAUAACCACGAAUGUAACCUUGAGCUAACAGGAGUUAACCACUUCACCAACAUAAGGUCAUGCCGUUGAAUCCUGAAGCAGUCAAUCCAUUUUGCACGCUGCUGAACAAUGGCAACGCAAACUAAAAAAGUCUCUCUCAAACUUGAUGUUCUUCUAGCACAGUACACAAGUUUUUCCACAGCUGCAGCUCAAGCAAAACAUGUUUUACUGAACUUCUUUUCAACUCUAUCUUUGGAGCAACGUGGCAUCUAAACUGUCCGUGCAAAGGUGAUUUUCUCCCUUUUGAACCCCAGUAUCUUGAACAUGACUCAAGACCAUGCCAGUUCUAGGCUCAUUGAUGCUGCUGCAACUGCAACGGAACUAUGAAAUGACUGCACCUCUACCAGUUGCAGCAUCGCUACUCACUUGGUACAAAGAACAUCCAUAGUUCAGAACAAUCCCUUUCCUAAAACAGAAGACAAAUUGAAUAAUUGAAGUCACUUAUUUGCAUAAUGUCACGGACAUAAUAUUAAUCUCUAUGUAUCCUAAUGUCACCACAUUGACAGAGAAGCAAAUACUAUUCAUUUUCAAAAAUUGUAAAAUAUCUAUAUUUUCAUUAUCUUCAAAUUCAGUUAUGAGUGUUCAUUUUAUAUUAUCAGAAAAAUCAGUAUGUUUCAUAGAGGCUUCCAACAUUAAGACCUAUUUGUAUAAUUAUGUACUGUAAUAUUGUAUGGGCAUGGCUAUUUAAAAGGUCAAAAAGGGGGGCAGCAGCCAGAUAUAUCUAAAUAAUGAAACAAGCUACAACGUCAUAUCAGUAUGGCUCAGUGACUGACUGACGCUCCUAACAUAACCAGAGAGAGAGAGAGAGAGAGUUUCAAAUGUUCAGCCUUCUAAUAUUUUAGCCCCAUUCAUUAGCAAGCUUCAAGUAAGGAAACAAAUUUUACAUGCUAUUAACACUGGAGAAAUGUCACCUCAAUGAAACUGGAUGGAUGGAGUGUCAGCAAAUUGGCUUGGAACUAAUAAAAUUUCUAUGUCUAAUAAAAUUUACAGGCACAACUUUAUUUUGUCGUCUUUACAAAAAACAAAAAAAAUGAGAGAAAGGAGGUGAGAUACUGACAGAGAUAUUUUGCAGAAGUAGCGCCUCAAAAGCCAGCAGUCUUGUAGGAGUACAAAACAGCGGGCUGCUGUGCUGCCGCCCCACACACGACCUGCGAACCCCAGGAUGAGGCUGUGCCGAUCCCAUCAGCAGAGACGAUGCCUGCCAUGCUUGCCUGCAGUCCACGCGUGUGUCACAUGCAGUUGACCAUCAAAAGAUGCACACCACACACCACAGUAACGCCGAAAGAUCCAUCUCAGAAUCUAUCCAUCCAUCAAGGGAAAGAGAGGCAUUCGAGAGCCGGCUGGUACAGCUUCAGCAUUAGCACCCACCACUCCCUACCACCGCCUACCUCAGUCUCAGUGCAACUUCCACUUUGCACUCAUCAACCAGUGUCUCUGUAUGAAUGGCGUGAAAACGAAAUGCCCGGCCCCUCUUCCUCAACGCCGGCGCCCCAGCUGUUGCAGUACUGGCAGCAGCAAGACGAAGGGAUGUAGCCGGCCGGCGACACAGACGAGGCGAGCGCGCCGGCGCCUGCAACAGCCACUUCUAGUCUUGUAUGCUCGCGAACUCCCAUUGUCGGACGCCCAACAGUACGCAUCUCCUUGCUCUCCUAUUCCUGACACAAGGCCUUCCUUGCUGAGCGAUGGACCGGCCAAACUGGCCAACCUGUUAAUGCGCUCUGGGGUUUCAGCGCCGCUGAGAGAUGCCGCCGAUGGAUGUCCACACACUCGAUGCACCUGGCCCCGUGCCGCGGCUAUCCAUGAUUCUUUCAGGGACGAGGUUGCUGGCGUCGCGCAGGAGGUUCCUCUAGGGAUGCAAUGCGAUGCUCGCCUCCGUCAGUAGCACGACAUCAGGCAGGCAUUCCACCUGCAGCAAGUUUCAGAGAAUAAUGUGGUAUCAAUUUCAGCAAUAGCUUCCACUUACGUGCCUGCCUGCCUGCCUGUCUGCCUGGAUUAAUUUCAAAUGCUCAGCAAGAGAUGACUAGUCCCGCUACCUGAGUGAAGCUGCUAGCAAUCGCAAGAUGCUCCUUGUCAAUAUCCAUGCUGACAACAAGCGCUGGAAGCCUGUUAUGGUCUGACGGUUUCUUUCACUUCUGAUACGGCCUUUGCAGAUGCCCCCAUAUAUGCUGAGACAUAGUUCCAGCAUCAGCGACGACUGACGCUACUUAAGAAGGCGAGGGAUGUCAAUAGCAGUUUAUAGCAGAGGUUAACCUCCAUCGACGAGUACAGUGGAUGCGCCCUGAUUGAGUACUGACGCUUCCUCUGCUGUCAGAAACUGGCUCCUCCGAGGAAGUUGAGUCUUCCUCGCGUGGGUGGUUGCUCCGGCAAGUGGCGAUGCUCACCUCCAUCAGUAGCACGACAUCAGGCGUUUAACCUGCAAAGUUUAAUAAUGCCUUUCAGCAGACAGUUUGUAUCACGUCUAAUAAUGCCUUUGCACAUGCCUUAGUGCUAGUUAGUAUGCGCUGGGACAUAGUUCAAGCAUCAGCGACUGACUGGCGCUACUGCAAGGGAAGGAUAUGUCAAGAGAAGGUUACAGCAGAUGGAUGAGUACAUACAGUGGGUGUGCCAUCGAGCCCGAGCUCUGCUCUCAGAAACUGGCUCCUCGGAUCCUCCCAGGAAGUUGGGUCUCCUCUAAGUCGGCUUGGCUGGAAAUGUUAGAGAUAUCCAAUCCUUAACUUACCAAACCCGUGCAAUAGAGAGGAGAAAACACAUCAGUGAAUGCAUGUGAUAAAUGAAAAACAGAAAAGUGAAUGAAGAAACAGAGAAAGGAAGGAUCAAAUGUUCAGCCUUAUAAUAUUUCAGCCUCAUUCAUGAUCAAUCUUAACUCUGGAGAAAUGUCACUUCGAUGACACUGAAUGGAUGGACUGUCAGCAUAUUGGCUUGGAAGUAUGGUUACCUUGACUAGUACGGAGACAGAGACCUGCGCAAGCAGCUGUGACAGUGUUCCAGCACUGAUGACCUCCCAGCAGCUAGAGGUAUACAUCAUCCAAUCCAACCGACUGAAAAGGGAAGUUUGCGCUGAUCAGUUAGAAGAUUUGAAAAAACAGAUGGGAGCCUAUCACAUUCAGACUAAGUAGGUUACGUCGCGAUGAAACUCACCAAUGGUACAUCAUUUAAAAUCUCGAUGCUGAUUUAACAGCAUUGAUAUAUGGCUUUCCAUUAUCCCAACUUAUGCAUUUUGUAAAGUUCUUCAUGCCAGGGUCACAAGCAGAUAUCACGGGAGAUUGCAUCGUCAAGAAUGCCCUGUAAUGAAAAAUUUGCUCAAUCUCUGCUCAAAAUGGUCCACCAAUCACAGUCUGACCAAAAAAAAUGUUUGAUAUCCAGGUUACAUGUUGUCUAGAACCUAAACCAAGAUGGAAUAAAAAAAACCCUGAAACGUAGUAUCAUUGAUUUGGACCAUGUAUGCUAUGUCAAGCAAUUCAAAUAAGAGUGAAGAUUUAAGAACAAAGUUGCAGCACAAAUUCUAAUGAUUGGAAAGGAUUAAAGAAGCUAAAUCAGAGAAAACUGGAAGAGGGAUGGUUCCUAAUACUGUUACAGUGGUGCUCUUUGCAUGCAGUGCAAUGUAACAAGGUAAGGUGCCACUGAUCAGAUAAUAACAAAGUAAAAUGGCCACCAAAAAAAAUUGAGCUACUUCACGUUCAGCAACUAACAUGGGUGAUCCUUAGGUGGAACUUUUUGGUAAAAAAUAGUGCAAAAAAAGGAAGUGUUUGUUACCUUAGAUUAGUAGCCUCAGAACUUAACUAUGGGUAUUGUUCCUUGCAGCUUCCGGCACUGCUUCUGUAGCUUCUCGUUGCUAUUCGUGACAUCUAGCUUUUGAAGUGAAUUCGGGAGGCUGCCCUCAUGCAGCGACCUGAUAGCAGGACAGUCGCGGAUCCGUAAUAUCUUCAGUGAACUUGGAAGGCUUCCCUUUGGUAGCGACCGGAAGCCAUCGCAACUAAUUAUAUUUAGUUCUGUCAGCGAACUUGGGAGGGUGCCCUUGGGCAGUGACCGGAUGGCACCACAGCACCAGAUUUGUAAUUCCACCAGUGAACUUGGAAGUCCGCCCUUGGGUAGGGACCGAAAGCAGUUACAGUACUCGAUCUCUAAUCUCUUGAGGUUGGGAAGCCCACUUAACCCUUCUGGCAGGGACUGCAGCCUACAGUACCACUCAAUUCGAAGAACCUGGAGGGAGGUGAGCAUCUGCAGGGCCUCCGAUUGCUCCAUUGUGAAGUGCUCCAAGUCGCCAUUCCGACCAAGGCAUAGCUCGGUGAGAGAGGAAGAGAAGUGGCCAUGGAUGGGCACAGCAACGGCGCCCCCUGCUUCCCCAGCCGUUUCGAGCGCUUGCAGCCUGGAGCUAUGUUGGGGAAGAACUUGUUCGCACAUCCGCGAAGGCUCUGGGACAUCAAGUAAGUUGUGCGCUCCCCAGAUUUGUAAUUCCUUGAGAUGGCCCUGGGCGAGGAGAUGCCAUAGGUCCUCAGAUCUUAGACCCCCACAAUCAUGUAGGUCCAAUUUGGUCAGAUUUGUGAGAGGAGCCAGCGAAAGCAUGCCAUCCUUCACACCACCAAGCUGGAGGGACUGCAGGGAGGUCGGGAAAGGGCAGUAAAAAGAGGGGGGCGAACUGGAGGAUAGAAGCAUGGGGCAGUUACGUAUAACCAGUGAUCUCAGAGAGCUCUGAUUUUGAAGGGGCAUGGGCAGCUGUCCUCCUGCUGCAGCUUCUAUUUCCUCUGCUCCGCCUGCCUGCUUGUUACCACAACUCCAUAGUUCCAACGUUAAGAGGUUAGGGAAAUAAGAGAUUAGCUGUAACAAUUCCUUCACAGUGGCACCACAACCUGAUAUCUGGAGCUGUUCAACUGGGAACUCGAAUGGGGAAUCAUUCUCACCUUCAGUUGGCCACAGGACACUAGUACAGUGACUUAUAUGCAGGGUCUUCAGAGAAUUUAGCAGUUGUAGGUGAUGUAGAGGCACUUGUGAGCAUUCACUGAUCCUGAACUCCUUUAUUUCACUCAGAUUACUGAAGGCCAAUACAUUCCAGAGUUCAUGACCAAGAGCAUCCUUUUUGAACCCUACACGAAUUUCCUGCUCCUUUUUGCUGUAAUCUAAGUUCUCAAUAAUCUUACCCACUCUCUGCAGUCUAGCUUUGGACAGAGAACUACUCCAAGGAAUUGGUGGCACUGACACUAGUUCCUCACACUCUGAAAUGUAUAUCUCCUGUAGGUUGGGAAACAUGUGCGCAAAUGGCAGCUCUGUAAGUACAGAACAAUUCUUAACAAUGAGUACCUCUAGCUUAGAGAAAGGGCUAUCUACACUCCAUUUUUUCAGAGUUGCUAUGUUGACAAGUUCUAGAAAUUUCAGAUUCUGAAAGGUUUGCCCUGCGACGCUUGGCUGCUCUUCGCUGACCAUCAACAACUCUCCUAGCAGAGGUGGAAGACUUUUCCAGGCUACACCUUUGAGACAAAGGCAUUCCAAAUUCUUAGCAGAGUGAUCUGAACAUAGCCAGGUAGGGUAUGUGUGACCUCCAUGUCCUCUAAUGCACAGUUCUUGAAGAUUAUUGUGUGGCUUAAGGCAUUUAAGAAGAUCUUGUUCCUUUUUUGGGUCCCUAUCAGAUUGGUUUUCAUCCCAACCUAAUAUUAAUCGAUUUAAGUGUUGCAAGUGGACUAAUUUUAAUUCUUCCAGCUCUGUUGCACCACCAACCUUUUCAAGAUUACAAAUCUCCAAUGACCCAUGGAGCUGUAUCAAUUUCCCCAAUUGGUUCAAUUCAAAACCUUGUUUUUCUCUUUUGACCUCAAAUCUCCUUAUCUCUUGUAUAGAUUUAAGUUUCCCAACCUCAACAAUUCCACAAUGAUAUGAUUGAUUUCCCACAAGAAAAUGACGAAUUUUCACUAGGUUGCUCAUAUCUCUUGUAGAAGUGCACAUCUCUUCUGUGUCUAUACGAGGAAAAGUGUUGCAUUCUUUUAUAUCUAGGACCAACAAGUUAUAAAAUCUUGAUAUACUACCAAAUAAACUUCUUAAAUUUAAUACAUAACCCUUUAUCCUUAAGUAACGAAGAUGGACAAGUUGUGAGAAACUGUGCAGCAGAACCUCCACAUCAUACGAUGCACCAGAUAAGAAAAUGACACGAAGGGUUUUUGCAUCCCGAAACAUACCACUAAAUAUCUUGCAAAAGCUUCCAUGGUGAUCUCCAAAUAACAUCAAAGUACGUAGGUUUCUAGCUUUCAGUCUUUUACCAAGUAUAUCAAGGCCUUUCUUACAAUUUUCAAAGGUUGCUUUGUCCUCCACAUCUGAAUUAUUUAUGAUGAUGGACAUGUGAUGUAUAGAUGCAGGAAUUUGUAUUGACCCCACAUUAGCCCCUUGUAUGCUAAGACAUUCAUGUGCUGAAACAUUUCUUGCCAAGUCAUGGAGUAGGUCAUGUAUAACAUAAUAAGUGUGCCCAUCCUCUUUUUUUUCUUCCUGGAAGAAGCCAUAACUAACCAAGUCGCUUAAAUAAUCUAGUCCAAUAUCUUCAAGUCUCUUGUUUUGAUCGUCGGGGCCUAACAGCCCUAGUCCUAUCCACAAGUGGAUUAACUCUUCCCUUCCAAAUUCAUAAUCUUCAGGGAACAAGGCACAGUGGGCAAAACAUUGUUGUAGAUGAAAAGGAAGAUAGUUAUAGCUAAGCUUUAAUGCUGGCAUGAUAUCAUCCUCAUUGGCCUGAUAUUCCCAUUCUUUACUCUCAAGUACCCUUCUCCAAUGGUCUGUGUUAAGUUCAGUUUUCAGUAAUCUACCGACAGUUUUAACUGCAAGAGGGAAACCUUUCAAUCUCUUCACUAUUUCGCACCCAAAAUCAUGCAAAUUAGGGUUCCCUUCCCAUGUUUGCUGGUCAUCAAACACACAUGCUUGGAAGAAACACAUGCAUUCUUCAUCACUUAACCGUUCUAAUCUUAUUUGACAGCCUACUGUUGCAACCAUUUGUGCCACCUUCGGUAUCCUUGUUGUGACUAUUGCCAUGUUACCUUUUGUUUGCAUUUUCUUAAAUGGGGCUAGCAGUUUUUUCCAUUCAUUUUCGUGAUCUGUCCACAUGUCAUCCAAAACAAGCAAGAACCGUUUGGACUGCAAUCUUUUUUCAAUCAGACCUUCAGCACUUUCAUUUCCAUUUUCAUUGUCAAGUUUAGGGAUUUGUUUUAUGAUUUCUUGUGCCAACUUACUUGCACUGAAAUUCUGAGAGACACAUACCCAUACCAGGACUUGGAAGUGGCUCUUUGCUUCUUCAUAUAUAUGUUGUGUGAGUGUUGUCUUCCCAAGACCCCCUGGACCAACUAUCGAAAGAACAGUGAGAUCAUCAUUGACAUGAUAUUUAGAGGUUAUUCCAUCUAUGACAUCCUUUUUCAAAUCAUCCCUCCCAUAUAACUUUGGCUCUAUAAUCUGUGGGGUGGUGGUUCUGGUGGUUUGGUUGAAAGCAGUGCCUUGUUGGGCUGAGAUGCCAGUGGAGGCUAUAGUUCCCUGCAGCUCCAGAUCUAGAAUUGUAGAGACCAUAGCACACACUGGCUUAAGCUGCUCAACUAUGUCCACCAUCCGUUUGGACAUGGCCACCCGAUCAAACUUGAGUUUUGGCUUUCUACGAUGGUGACACACCACAGAAGCACAGGAGCAUGAGGGGAGCUUCAGCUUACUGACGACGGCCCCAGCCGUGUGUCGUGCGUUGAGGACAAGGCCCCCGACGAGACCUCGGGCAUCGGCGUCAAUGGUCUCAUAGGUCCCAUGGAGCUCAUCUUGGAUGCGGAAGUACUCCAGCUCGUCUAGAACGUCAUCAGCAUCGUACGCUUGGUUGCGGAGCUCCUGCAAGAGCUGCCCCAGUGCAGGGUUGCAGACAUCCCUGCCACGGGCGUUGUUCAGCAUCCCCUGGGCCUACAGGAGUUGCAGCUUGAGGGCGCGGAUGUUGGGGGCCAGCUUCGAAGAGGCUGCCCAAGACUCCAUGAGGCCAUCGGAGAUGGGUCUCAGUGCCCUGGACACCGCCCAGCGUGCUGCGCUGAUGGUGAUCUCCAUCCUCUCUUCAAAGGGUGUUGGAUGACGAAGAUUCUGUGAAUCAGAGCAUCGAUCAAGUUAUGAGCCUGUUCGGAACAGCCGGCAGCGGCUGCAGCUGCAGCUGCACUAGCACAAGAAGCUGAUGCUGAAGCUGGAUCUUUCGAAAAACAAGCUGAAGCUGAAGCCAAUGUACUAGGAUUAGCUCUCUGUUUGUUCUGCAAGAGGUGAAGUAUGUGCAGAUCACAAGGCUAGCCAGCUGCUUACCUAGGCUACGCAGAUGACUGGAGGUGCCCUGCGUGGUCGGCACCGGGUUGGAGUUGGAGCCUUGGAGUGGAGGCUGACAAAGACUCUGCAGCUGCACCACCGAGUUGGAGCGCGCAGACGUCAAGUGGUGAGUGUACAGAGGAACUCAACUCUGUUUCUGUGGGAGGAAUGCGAGAGACAACAACUCUGUCAGAUGGGAGCUGUGAGCCUAUGAAUGCAAGCGCGUGUGUGGUUUUCCCAGGGAACGUGAGAUGAUUGAUUGCAUGUGAGGCUAGAUAUUUCUAAACUCCUUUUUUUUACAGCACUCGAGUGUGAAACAGAGCAUGGAUUCUAGCUUACCUACGCAGAACACGGAGUUGGAGUGGAUGCAGCUGCACCAAGGAGUUUCAGCGGCCAAGAUGCGAAGUGCAGUGUUACUCUCGAAGAGGAAUGCAAGAGAGAACUCUGGGCAAGCAGCUUGUGCCAGGAGUUGGGCGGUUGUUGGAGAUGUGAAUAUAAGCGUGUGUGGGUGUUUCCUUUCCCUGUUUGUUCAAUUAUUGUCCUUAUGCUGCACUUGUUGCUUUCUCGGUUUCAAUGCAAAGGCACUUUUUCCUUGUCAAAAAGAAAAAUGCAAAGGCACUUUCUCGUGGUGCUCCAACGAGACAAAGCAAGGAUUCCUUCCCUGUUUGUUCAAUUAUUGUUGCAUUGAAAUUCUCUGUGUUCUGUAACCAAGCAGAAGCAGCAGGCGCAAGUGCGCAACGCACCCCACCACGCACUUGUGGAUGGAACCACGAUGGAGGAAGGCUCUGCCAGCCGGACGUCGCAGCAUCCAAUUCGCUCGUCCCAACCUAACCUCAUGUACGUUGGAUUGGAGUCACACGCGUCCAAUAGAAGGACCUCCAUUAUGCAUGCAAGUUGGGAUCUAAGACAUGUUGAGCCGAUUCCGCACUGUCUCUCAAAUCUGCAGUCUGAACUCUGAAGAGGCCAAGUGUCCAAGUUUGGUAGACAACAGAGCUUCAAAUUCAGUGUGUUUAAUUUUACAUAGAUUGACUCUUAAAAUUCAGGUUCAGUGUUCUUGAGAGUCAGCGUUGCUCAGCUGAUACUGUGAUGUGUCAUGUGACUCUACUUUGAAAAGCAGGGCCCUUUGCCUUAAAGACAAACUGGACCUAUUUUAUUGCUCUUAUGUUCAUUUAUUUUAUUUUAUAUUAUAGCGAGAUCCAUCUAGAAAGCAGUCACUGGAAAUGCUAGCAGAACAGGACCUUUGACACUUAUCACUAGCACUAUUUCAUUCAGUCUUGUAUCUCAUGUGCUUUUGCAUGCUAGCCAUUUGGCCUACAAUGUCAAAACGCAGCACUUGCAUAUUCUAUUAUUUCUUGCGACGCACUCUUGCAACUUCUCUUCAGCAUAAUAUAAGUUUGAAUCUCUAUCUCAAAUUUGGCAGGACAAUUCAGUCUAGAGAACACCCUAUGUUUCUCCUCAACUUAGACACUACCUGGCAGAAUUAGUUGACCACCUCGUCAGUUAGCAAUGGGUCAUCAUUUUGAAAGGGUCCAUGUCAAAGACUGCCUAACCAUGCAAAGAACACAGAGGAAAAAAAAAUCUUAUUCAGUGAUAUCAACUGCAUUACUUCCUACUCCAGCCUUGACAUUUAACAGCGAAGAGCACAAACUUGAGAGGUCAUAUAAGGCAGUAAUAGAUGUUCCAUAACUUACUUCGAUUGUGGCCGUGUCAACGUUUUCUUGUGAGAAUAGAAGAAAUCCAAGACUGGUGAAUACCUGAAAAAGCGUGCAGAUAAUUAUGAAAAGUCAUGAUAAUAAUUCAGUCAAAGACAAAACACGAAUGGAUUCAAUGCCAGUAGUAUUUGGGUCCACCACGAAAUUCCAUCAGUUGUUUGCAGUAACCAUUUGCAUGUGUAAUGAAAUAGUAAAAAAAUUAUCAUCCAAAGGGGAAAAAAAGGUAGGCCAAAGUUUCAAUAAGUAAACUACCUCAAAAUGUGUCAGGGAUCCAUUUUCUGAUUGCACUGAUUCAUCAAUAGCUCCUUAGAGCCUCAUCAGAAAGAUCACUCAGCAGUCCAACUGGGACAGGGCCUUCAUCAUUUCCAACAGAAAUCCAUUCACGUAUUAAUUGUUGGAAGACGAGGACUGAAUAGAAGACAGAAUUUCAGAGGUGUCAAAAACCAGCGAGACACAAUGGAACUGAACAAUUACAGACCAUCUAGAACAGAAGAUUACCCUUGAAUACCUUGACAUAGAUCUCAAAAUGAACAAUGACAGACAAUAUUCAAAACUAAUCUGUUAGAAAACAAGACCUAGCUCCCUACGAAUUGAAUACGAGAGUGCUAAGUCAGAUAAAGGUACUUUCUAUGGAUACAUCUUGGUACUUAAGACAUAUCACAUUUCUGUGGAUACAUCUUGGUACUUAAGACAAAUCACAUCUUGCUCCUGCAUACCUCUUUGAUGCACCACGAAGUUUCUGUCAUGAUAUUGGAGAGUUAAGCCAGAUUCCACACAACAAUUGCAAGCGAUUGACGAAGCCGAUGGAGAGUUAAGAUUACACCUGGAGUAACAGCCCACAUUGUAGCCUUGAACCCCAUGAUUCAUGAACCAUGAUACUGGACAGGAACAAAAGCAGUAGAACCUUCCCUACAAGCACAACUAUUCAGUUAAUCCCUGCAAUCACCGUACUAGCCGUCGAGACGAGGGAACGGGAGCCUCACCGGGCAGUGGGUGUGGGGAGUCACCGAGCCAGCAGAGGAGGCGGACCAUACCGGCCGAGGUCGAAUCCUUCGUCGGAGUCGGUGCCAGCGCCGCGCGGUACGUCCGAGCGCUCGUAGUUGCGCAGCCGCUCCGUGUACUCGAAGAAAUCCCCGGUCGGGCCCUCCGCUUCGCCUCCGUGCUCCGGCAAUAGCAGACAGGUCGCGGCGGGUGCUGCUCCCCAGCAGCAUACCAUUCGGGAGGCCGAGUGCGGCGGAGAAGCGACCUACUAUCCGUCGCGUCCGUGCUGCAGCGGCGGGAGGCGCCGGAGUCGCGGACGUGAUGCUCUGAUGGAGAUGCAGCGAAUUGCAGAUUACAGACGAACGGGCCUCCAGGUGGUGCGGAAGUGGGGAGGACGCCGGAGCCGGGGAGACUGCACUCUUCCGGGGAGGCGAUUAACAAUAUCUACUCCAAUCGAUGGCUGAAUGUCAGCAACGCAUUUGCGACAUGGGAUGGAAGAGCUUGACUGACUAAACUCUCCGGGGAGGCGUUGAAACUGGAUUGAUUUCAUGAUUGAUGGACUUUUGUGUGAAUUAAUAUGUUGCAGGUGACACGAGACAAAUUGGUGAUGCCUUAUCAUCACUCACGAACCUGUAUCUUGCAAAUCUAUGGAAAACUUCAAGGGUUUUGCCUGGCAUACUGAACUCUGUGAUAUACUGAUGCCAAGCCUUCCAAAUCCAAAAUUACUCCAAAACUUCAGGCUUCAGUUUUGUGAAGUACAUUCCGCCGGGGCCUGCCUGCAACACAUUAGUAACAGUGCUCUUUUUUGUUUGAACCUAACUUCCUGUAGAGAAUGGGGGAGGACAAUUAUACAAGCAAGCAGGUAUAAGAAAACAAUACAAACUUUGACACGAUGCUUUUACGUGGAAAAAACUCCUCAAAAUGAGGAGUAAAAAACCACGGGACCAUCACGGUCCACUGCCAAAUUUUCCAUUAUGAGGAUGAUGAUGAAUACAAGUAGUCGUUACAAUAUCAAAAGACAAAACUCUUGCACGACCAAACAUGACCACAAAAGUAAUCAAGAGUUAACCACUUCACCAAGAAAAGGCCACACUGCUGAAUUUGACAACCUGAAGCAGCCAAUCCAUUUUGCACGCUGCUGAAAAGAAAAAAAAUUGCGCUGAUCAGUUGGAAAGUUUGGAAAACAGAUGGGAACCUAUCAAGUUCAGAUGUAGUAGUAGGUGAGGUUCACGAUGUAACUCACCAAUGGUACAUCAUUUGAAAUCUUGGUGCUGAUGUAACAGCAUCGAUCUGGCUUUCUAUUAUCCCAACCUAUGCAUUUUGUAAAGCUCUUGAUACCAGGAGCACAAGAGAUGUGCCCGGUCACCAAUAACUUGCUCAAUGCCUGCUGAAAAUGGUCCACCAAUCACAACCUGACAAAAAAAUGUUUGAUGUCCAGGUUACAUGCAUGUUGUCUAGGACCGAACCCAAGGUGGGAUUUUUUUUUAAAAAAAAUAUCAAUUGUAUUAUCCUCAUUUGAAUCAUGUAUGUUACGAAAUUCAUAUAUGAGUAGAGGUCAGAUUUAAGAACAAAAUUGCAGCACAGAUUCUAAUGAUUGGAGAGGACUGAAGAUAGCUAAAUUAGAGGAAACUGGAAGAGGGAGAGUUCCUAAUACUGCUGCAGUGUUGCUCCUUGCAUGCAAUGCAAUGUGACAGGGUAAAGGUUCCAUUGAUCAGAUAAUAACAAAGUAAAAUGGCCACCAAAAAAAAUUAAGCUACUUCACAUUCAGCAACUAACAUGGGUGAUCCUUUGGUGGAACCUUUUGGUAAAACAUAGUGCCAAAAAAAAAGAAGUGUUUGUUACCUUGGAUUAGUCUCGGAACUUAACUAUGGGUAUUGUUCCUUGCAGCUUCCGGCACUGCUUCUGUAGCUUCUCGUGGCUAUCCGUGACAUCUAGCAUUUGAAGUGAAUUCGGGAGGCUGCCCUCAUGCAGCGACCUGAUAGCAGGACAGCGGUGGAUCACUAAUAUCUUCAGUGAACUUGGAAGGCUUCCCUUUGGUAGCGACCGGAAGCCAUCGCAACGAACUAUGUGUAGUUUUGUCAGCGAACUUGGGAGGGUGCCCUUGGGCAGUGACCGGAUGGCAUCACAGCCCCGUAUUUCUAAUUCCACCAGGGAACUUGGGAGGGUGCCCUUGGGCAGCGACCGGAUGGCCUUACAGAACGAGAUAUGUAAUUCCACCAGUGAACUUGGAAGGCCGCCCUUGGGUAGCGACCGGAAGGAGCCACAGAACCCGAUCUCUAAUAUCUUGAGGUUGGGAAGCCCACCUAACCCUUCUGGCAGGGACUGCAGCCUAGAGUACCCCAAAAUUCGAAGAACCUGGAGAGAGGUGAGCAUCUGCAGGGCCUCCGAUUGCUCCAUUGUGAAGUGCUCCAAGUCGUCAUUCCCACCAAGCUCUAGCUCGGUGAGAGAGGAAGAGAAGUGGCCACCGACGGGCACAGCAACGGCGCCCCCUGCUUCCCCAGCCGUUUCGAGCGCUUGCAGCCUGGAGCUAUGUUGGGGAAGAACUUGUUCGCACAUCCGCGAAGGCUCAGGGACAUCAAGUAAGUUGUGCGCUCCCCAGAUUUGUAAUUCCUUGAGACGACCCUGGGCGAGGAGAUGCCAUAGGUCCUCAGAUCUUAGACCCCCACAAUCAUGUAGGACCAAUUCGGUCAGAUUUGUGAGAGGAGCCAGCGUCAGCAUGCCAUCCUUCACACCCUCAAGCACGAGGGACUGCAGGGAGGUCGAGAAAGGGCAGUAAAAGGAGGGGAGCAAACUGGAGGAUAGAAGCGUGGGGCAAUCCCAUAUAAACAGUGAUCUCAGAGAGCUCUGAUUUUGGAGCAACUCCUUCAAUUGGAGGGGCAUGGGCAGCUGUCCUCCUGCUGCAGCUUCUAUUUCCUCUGCUUCUCCUGCCUGCUUGUUACCACACCUCUGUAGGUCCAACGUUGAGAGGUUAGGGAAAUAAGAGAUUAGCUGUAACAAUUCCUUCACAGUGGCACCACAAUCUGAUAUCUGGAGCUGUUCAACUGGGAACUCGAAUGGGGAAUCAUUCUCACCUUCAGUUGGCCACAGGACACUAGUACAGUGACUUAUAUGCAGGGUCUUCAGAGAAUUUAGCAGUUGUAGGUGAUGUAGAGGCACAAGUGGGCAUUCACUGAUCUUGAACUCCUUUAUUUCACUCAGAUUAGUAAAGGCCAAUACAUUCCAGAGUUCACGAUCAAGAGCAUCCUUUUUGAACUGUACACUCAUUUUCUGUUCCUUUCUGCUGUAAUCUAAGUUCUCAAUACUCUUACCUACUUUCCACAGUCUAGCUUCGGACAGAGAACUACUCCAAGGAAUUGGUGGCACUGACACUAGUUCCUUACACUCUGAAAUGUAUAUCUCCUGUAGGUUGGGAAACAUGUGCGGAGAUGGCAACUCUGUAAGUUCAAAACAAUCCUCAAUAGUGAGUACCUCUAGCUUAGAGAAAGGGCUAUCUACACUCCAUUUUUUCAGAGUUGCUAUGUAGACAAGUUCUAGCCUCUUCAGAUUCUGAAAGGUUUGCCCUGCGACGCUUGGCUGCUCUUCGCCGACCAUCAACAACUCUCCUAGCAGAGGUGGAAGACUUUUCCAGGCUACACCUUCAAGGCAAAGGCAUUCCAAAUUCUUAACAGAGUGGUCUGAACAUAGCCAGGUAGGGUAUGUGUGACCUCCAUGUCCUCUAAUGCACACUUCUUGAAGAUUAUUGUGUGGCUUAAGGCAUUCAAGAACAUCUUGUU
rnacentral:lncRNA from 1 species